CACCUUUCAGGGUCGCACCUGGAGAGUUUCCAGUACUCUACCAGUCUCGGGUACAGGAGGAAGAGUCAAGCAGAGGCAUACCCAUUCCAUUCCUCGCUUGGGCAAUGGCUAGCGAGUGGAACGCACUCUGCCUCAAGU